rnacentral:sRNA from 1 species
UUGGGCUUUUAAUACAGGUCGAGAGCUAUGAAUUUUGAUUUUCCUUUUAAAAAGGGAUCAGGAAUACCUCUACUGACAACCAAUUUGUCCCCACAAUGCCUCUCCCUCUUGCACGCAAUGGUGGCCUACGAUCCCGAUGAGAGAAUCGCCGCCCACCAGGCCCUGCAGCACCCCUACUUCCAAGAACAGAGGUAGGCACUCUCGUGGGUUCGGUGGGGCAGAUGCAGGACCUGGCAAAUGAGACCCAUGGGCACAUGGUGGGGCAAGGGACUGCCCUCUGGAGGGUCCCUGGUUCUUGGGAAUCGCGCUCUCUAUCCUGAAGAGUGGUCAGGGCCUCUUGGGGCCCACACCUUGCUGCAUUCUGGUGCAUCCUCCCCAAAAUGAGGAUGUUAGCAGCUCCAUGGCAGGAGAAAGAGGGGCUGGCUGUCCACUUUGCGGUUGACGCCAAGGCUACGGGUAGUAAGCCUUCUAGAAGAGCCUGGUGUGCGGCCCUUGUAAAUGGUGUGAACAGGAUGCAUUCUGAGAUGUUAGAGCACUUUGAAUGUCACCUGGCACUGGAAGUACCUGCUGAAUGUGAAUCUAAGACAUGUCUACCCUGAGGUCAUCUAAUUCCGUACCUCUGGACACUCCUGUUUGCGUAACUGUGGAGGUGACAGUUUGAUCUGAAACUGCGAGUCCCUGGGUAGGCAGUGCUUCUGGUUCGUGGAGCCAGCUCUGUUCCUGGCCCAGAGACUGUCAGGCUGAGACAGAAAAGAAAAAAAAAAAAGUCUCCUGAUUACAGCUCAGGCGGAAAAGAAGAGCUAGUGACAACUCACACAGUAGACAAAUUGGAGACAAGCCAAUAGGCCGUGUGCUCCACGGGCUCUCAGUGGAGCUGCUCCGUUCUCUUCUCCUUCCCCGUAGGAAAACAGAGAAGCGGGCUCUGGGCAGCCACAGAAAAGCUGUCUUUCCGGAGCACCCUGUGGCACCGGAACCACUCAGUAACAGCUGCCAGAUUUCCAAGGAGGGCAGAAAGCAGGUACUAAGCGAAAUCGGAGCCAGAGACUGCCUAGCUCAGCCAGGACUGGAUGCCCUCAGGUGGCCUGUGUCUCUCUGAGGAGGACGCCACCUGUGGAGGCUGUGGCAUACCACAUUGUCAGUCAAGGCCUGAACAGCAUGCGAGUUGAUGGCUCCAUGUGUUGGGACAUCAGGGACCCCAGUUCUAUUUGCUCAAGCCCUUUCUGCCCCAGUAGCUAAGAAUUGAUGACGAAUAUCCCAUGUGAGCAGGCCCAGAGAGGGGACGCUUGCAUCAACUUUUGUGUCUGUCCUGAUGACCACGUGCAGGUGCCAGGUUCUAUGCCAAAGCACCGUGCAGACAUCGCCCCUCAGAACGGCCCUGGAGGGAGGCGCCAAGAAGAUGCAAUGCUGGCCCAAGUCACCCACCCAGCCAGUGACAGGUCUCAAGUCGCUGUCUCUGCCUGGCCCCAGAUGAGCACUUCGUCCCAUCAGCAGAGGUUGUACACAUUUUGGGUUGAGAAAUGCCAGCUUCACUCCUCAGUGCCUUCACCUUCCCACCUACCGUGUGGCAUCCUAGCCUGGUGCAGUCCUGUGUCACCUGCUGGCAGGGUCGCACCAGUCUCCCAGUUCUGGGCUGGCACCCCAACAGUGUGACAGCGUGCCUUUCCAUCAUUCAUCUGUUUGGUCGUCUGUACGUCACUCGCUCCUCCCAGCCUUUACCGAGUGCUCCCUGACCGCUUGGGAGCUGGGAACCCAGAGCUGCAGUCAGGCUGCUCUCCAGAAAGCCAGGCUCCUGUGUCCCGUUGGCCCCCGAUUUGACAGCUCCACUUGAAUGUCCAAAAGACAAACUUACUGAAACUCCUCCUGAUCUUUCCCCAAACGUGCUUUUUCCCUGUGGCUUCCCGUGGACUUCCCUCCGGCAGCGGCAACUUCGUCAACUGCCCAGGCCCCCCGUGGACCCUUCCUUCAUCCCACAGGGGCUUCGCCUUCUUGCCUCCUAUGUCCUCCUCACCUUGCCUAAGUCACCACAGGUGGCCUUCUCACUACUGUCCCUGCUCUGCCUCCGCUCCCUCCUGGACAGAGGGUCUGCUUCAAACCCUUGAUGUCACUCCUGGCCGGCAUUCACCCAAGUCCCCACCCUCAGUCACAUCCGAGGUCAGCAUGCUUUUCUCUAAGGGCCCGAUAGGAAAUAUUUUAGGCCCCACGGCCGUGGGGUGUUCGUUACACUCCCCACUUUGCUGCGGUGUGAAAACAGCUGGAGGCAACACAUGAACCACAUGGAGGCUGCGUUACAGUAGAACUGGGGACACUAAAAUUUGAAUUUCACAUAAUUUUCACAUGCCAUGAAACUUUUUUUUUCAAUCACUAAAAAAUAUAAAAACCGGGUGGAUGCGGUGGGCCACACCUGUAAACCCAGUGCUUAGGGAGGCCAAGGUAGGGUCACUUGAGGCCAGGAGUUUGAGACCAGCCUGGGCAACGUAGGCAAGACCACUGCCCCACCACCCCAUCUGUUUUAAAAAUUAGCUGGGUGUGGUGUGUGCCUUUGGUCCCAGCUACUUGGGAGGCUGAGGCAGGAGGAUCGCCUGAGCCUAGGAAGCUGAGGCUACAGUGAGCCAAGAUUGCACCACUGCACUCCAGUCUGCGCUACAGAGCAACAAACACCGUGUCGCAAAAAACAAAACAAAAACAAAAAACCCCAAAUGUAAAACCAUCCUUAGCUCACAAGCCACCCAAAACCAGGCGACAGGCAGAUCAGGGUGUGAGACCUUGGAGCUAGAGCAGGAGGCAGGAGGUGUGGGCACCACAGCCCGCGAGCCCUUUGCCGCCCGCACUGCUCAGCUCGCAGUUGGCAUUCUUCAGGUUCCCCCUGAAGGUUUGGCCUCCCCUGUGGGACUCUAGUGAGCAGCCACUCCCUUGGGGUGUCUGGGACCUGGUGGAUGUGUCCCAGUCACAUCUCAUGGUCAAGAAAUUGUAUUAGGCAAAAGCAAUACAAAAGAGCCUCUUUCGUUUUUCCUAAUUUCCAUAAAGCAGAAAGCGUUUUAUGUCCAUCUGGCCUCUGUUCUGUUUCAAGAAACAGUCCCUAGAGCAAGAGGAGGACCAUCCCAAGAGACAAGGACCAGCCUAUGUCAUGGAACUGCCCAAACUAAAGCUUUCGGGAGUGGUCAAACUGUCGUCUUACUCCAGCCCCACGCUGCAGUCCGUGCUUGGAUCUGGAACAAAUGGAAGAGUGCCGGUGCUGAGACCCUUGAAGUGCAUCCCUGCGAGCAAGAAGACAGAUCCGCGGAAGGACCUUAAGCCUGCCCCGCAGCAGUGUCGCCUGCCCACCAUAGUGCGGAAAGGCGGAAGAUACUGAGCAGCACCGUCGUCUCGACUUCCGGAGGCAACACCAAACCCGAUCGGGCCAGGCCUGAGCGAUCUGCUUCUGAGACGCCACGGAGGGCUGGGGAUGCGCCUGCGUCCGUUUCGCGCUGGCCGGGGCUCUGGGUGCUGCCCUGCGCCCUGCCGCACUCGCGGCCCGCGCAGCUGCCUAGGAUGUUCUGGGCUAAUAUAUUUGUAAAACCACCGCAUUCUAGGGUUUUCUUUCAUUUUCGUUAAGAAUUUGGGGCAGGAAAUAUUUUGUAAUUUUGUAUAUGAAUCAAAACAAACGAGCAGGCAUUUCUGUGAUGCGUUGGGCGUGGUUGGAAGGUGGGUUCUGCGUGUCCCCUCCCAGCGCUGCUGGUCGGUCGUGGAGCGCCACCACGUCUUACCAGUGACGCAACUGACACCCCUGACUUUUAUUAAAGAAUAAGCUGUCGUUACAGUAUUGCAUUUU